UAUAGCAGUCUUACCACCUUGUAGCCUGGUCUUCUUAAAUUUUAGAGGCUCAGCAAGGCUGGGCCUGGUUAUUAGUGAGACAGAAGACCUCUAAGGAAAAUCAGGUUACUGCUGUAA
rnacentral:rRNA from 1 species